AUUGAACGCUGGCGGCAGGCCUAACACAUGCAAGUCGAGCGGAAACGAGUUAUCUGAACCUUCGGGGAACGAUAACGGCGUCGAGCGGCGGACGGGUGAGUAAUGGCUGGGAACCUGCCCUGACGUGGGGGAUAACAGUUGGAAACGACUGCUAAUACCGCAUGAUGUCUUCGGACCAAAGAGGAGGACCUUCGGGCUUCUCGCGUCGGGAUGGGCCCAGUUGGGAUUAGCUAGUUGGUGAGGUAAUGGCUCACCAAGGCGACGAUCCCUAGCUGGUUUGAGAGGAUGAUCAGCCACACUGGAACUGAGACACGGGUCCAGACUCCUACGGGAGGCAGCAGUGGGGAAUAUUGCACAAUGGGCGCAAGCCUGAUGCAGCCAUGCCGCGUGUGUGAAGAAGGCCUUCGGGUUGUAAAGCACUUUCAGCAGUGAGGAAGGCGUAGUGGUUAAUA
rnacentral:rRNA from 1 species